GUAGGUGGCAAGCGUUGUCCGGAAUUAUUGGGCGUAAAGCGCGCGCAGGCGGUUUUUUAAGUCUGAUGUGAAAGCCCAGGCUCAACCGUGGAGGGUCAUUGGAAACUGGAGAACUUGAGUACAGAAGAGGAAAGCGGAAUUCCACGUGUAGCGGUGAAAUGCGUAGAGAUGUGGAGGAACACCAGUGGCGAAGGCGGCUUUCUGGUCUGUAACUGACGCUGAGGCGCGAAAGCGUGGGGAGCAAACAGGGAUUAGAUACCCUGGUAGUCCACGCCGUAAACGAUGAGUGCUAAGUGUUAGGGGGUUUCCCGCCCCUUAGUGCUGCAGCUAACGCAUUAAGCACUCCGCCUGGGGAGUACGGCCGCAAGGCUG
rnacentral:rRNA from 1 species